GAUUCGAGAAGAUUCGCCGCGUUUGGAGAGGUGUGGAUAUUAACAUCGGAGCUGCAACAGUUCUUCAGCAUCAUGGAAUUUAGCGAAAACUGAAAUGGCGAGGUGUAUUUGCAAAAGACUUUAUUUUGAAAGGUUCAUUCAUUCUUGAAUCCAGAGGAAUCUUGUAUAAGCAUUGAUGCUUCAAGCAUUGACAGAUCACUUGGGAGACUAGUGAAUGAUGAUCAGAAACCCAAUGCAAAGAUGAAAAAGAAGUGGAUGGUAUGCCUCAUCUUUUUUUAUUGGCCAUUAUGGAUGGAAGGGAAGUUCGAGAGAUUACUUAUGACUAUGGAGGUGUUGACUUGCCAUGACAUUCCUGCCAUGCACAGGAAAUGUCCAAGACCAUGGCUCCAGCUACAUUCCAGAACCAAGUCGUCUCUCCCACUGCCCCUCCUGAAGAGGUUUGGCAAUACAUUUG